AUACGUAGGUGACAAGCGUUAUCCGGAUUUACUGGGCGUAAAGGGCGUGUAGGCGGUCUUGCAAGUCAGAAGUGAAAUUCCUGAGCUCAACUCGGGCGCUGCUUCUGAAACUGCAGGACUUGAGUGCUGGAGGGGAUAGCGGAAUUCCUAGUGGAGCGGUAAAAUGCGCAGAUAUUAGGAAGAACACCGGUGGCGAAGGCGGAUAUCUGGACAGUAACUGACGCUGAGGCGCGAAAGCGUGGGGAGCAAACAGGAUUAGUUACCCUGGUAGUCCACGCUGUAAACGAUGAAUACUAGGUGUAGGGGGUAUCGACUCCCUCUGUGCCGCAGUUAACACAAUAAGUAUUCCGCCUGGGGAGUACGGCCGCAAGGUUGAAACUCAAAUGAAUUGGCGGGG
rnacentral:rRNA from 1 species